CCCUUAGAUGUUCUGGGCCGCACGCGUGCUACACUGAGUGGAUCAGCGGGUCAGGUUGCGCGAAAGCGUUUCCUAAUCUUUAAAUCCGCUCGUGAUGGGGAUUGACGGUUGCAAUUUUCUGUCAUGAACGAGGAAUACCUUGUAAGCGCGGGUCAUCAUCCCGCGCUGAAUACGUCCCUGCCCUUUGUACUCACCGCCCGUCGCUCCUACCGAUUGAGUGGUCCGGUGAGGCUUUGGGAUCUGAGCGGAAAGAGCGUUUCGCUGUUUCUGCUCGGAAAACUCAGUCGAACCUUAUCAUUUAGAGGAAGGAGAAGUCGUAACA
rnacentral:rRNA from 1 species